rnacentral:rRNA from 1 species
GCGCAGCAGUCGCGAAACCUCCGCAAUACACGAAAGUGUGACGGGGCCAUCCCGAGUGCCGUCCGCUGAGGACGGCUUUUCCCCAGUGUACACAGCUGGGGGAAUAAGGAGAGGGCAAGCCUGGUGUCAGCCGCCGCGGUAAUACCAGCUCUCCGAGUGGUGGGGACGCUUAUUGGGCCUAAAGCAUCCGUAGCCGGCUGGGCAAGUCCUCCGUUAAAUCCAACGAUUCAAUCGUUGGGCUGCGGGGGAUACUGUCCAGCUUGGGGGCGGGAGAGGCCGACGGUAUUCCCGGGGUAGGGGUGAAAUCCUAUAAUCCCGGGAGGACCACCAGUGGCGAAGGCUGUCGGCUAGAACGCGCCCGACGGUGAGGGAUGAAAGCUGGGGGAGCGAACCGGAUUAGAUACCC